rnacentral:rRNA from 1 species
UGGGGAGUACGACCGCAAGGUUGAAACUCAAAGGAUUGACGGGGGCCCGCACAAGCGGUGGAGCAUGUGGUUUAAUUCGAAGCAACGCGAAGAACUUACCAAGGCUUGACAUCCCGAUGACCGGUGUAGAGAUACACCUUUUCUUCGGAACAUCGUGACAGGUGGUGCAUGGUUGUCGUCAGCUCGUGUCGUGAGAUGUUGGGUUAAGUCCCGCACGAGCGCAACCCUUAUCUUCAGUAGCCAUCAUUUAGUUGGGCACUCUGGAGAGACUGCCGGGAUAACACGGAGGAAGGUGGGGAUGACGUCAAAUCAUCAUGCCCCUUAUGUCUUGGGCUCACACGUGCUACAAUGGCUGGUAACAAAGUGAGGCAAAACGGUGACGUCGAGCAAAUCACAAAACCCAGUCCCAGUUCGGAUUGUAGUCUGCAACUCGACUACAUGAAGCUGGAAUCGCUGUAAUCGCGAAUCAGCAUGUCGCGGUGAAUACGUUCCCGGGCCUUGCACACACCGCCCGU